rnacentral:rRNA from 1 species
CCUACGGGAGGCAGCAGUAGGGAAUAUUGGGCAAUGGAGGAAACUCUGACCCAGCCAUGCCGCGUGCAGGAUGACGGCCCUCUGGGUUGUAAACUGCUUUUAUACGGGAAGAAAAAAUGCUACGUGUAGCACAUUGACGGUACCGUAAGAAUAAGGAUCGGCUAACUCCGUGCCAGCAGCCGCGGUAAUACGGAGGAUCCAAGCGUUGUCCGGAUUUAUUGGGUUUAAAGGGUGCGUAGGCGGAUCUUUAAGUCAGUGGUGAAAGCCUGCAGCUCAACUGUAGAACAGCCAUUGAAACUGAAGAUCUUGAAUAUGGUUAAAGUAGGCGGAAUGUAUCAUGUAGCGGUGAAAUGCUUAGAUAUGAUACAGAACACCGAUAGCGAAGGCAGCUUGCUGAACCAUUAUUGACGCUGAGGCACGAAAGCGUGGGGAGCAAACAGGAUUAGAUACCCUGGUAGUCCACGCCCUAAACGUUGAUUACUCGUUGUUGGCGAUAUACUGUCAGCGACUAAGCUAAAAGCGUUAAGUAAUCCACCUGGAAGUACGACCGCAAGGUUGAAACUCAAAGGAAUUGACGG